AGCAAUUUGGCGCAGUGGAAGCGCGGUACGUCUAUACUCAAUGCGGAGCCAUUCUGAAUCAAGCUAACUUGCAACCAGCCGGGCUCAUAACCCGGAGGUCGUACGAUCGAAACGUACAAUUGCUA